rnacentral:rRNA from 1 species
GACGAACGCUGGCGGCGUGCCUUACACAUGCAAGUCGAACGGCAGCACGGGUGCUUGCACCUGGUGGCGAGUGGCGAACGGGUGAGUAAUACAUCGGAACGUACCUUAUCGUGGGGGAUAACGCAGCGAAAGCUGUGCUAAUACCGCAUACGCCCUGAGGGGGAAGGCGGGGGAUCGAAAGACCUCGCGCGAUUAGAGCGGCCGAUGCCUGAUUAGCUUGUUGGUGGGGUAAAAGCCCACCAAGGCGACGAUCAGUAGCUGGUCUGAGAGGACGAUCAGCAACACUGGGACUGAGACACGGCCCAGACUCCUACGGGAGGCAGCAGUGGGGAAUUUUGGACAAUGGGGGCAACCCUGAUCCGGCAAUGCCGCGUGAGUGAAGAAGGCCUUCGGGUUGUAAAGCUCUUUUGUCAGGGAAGAAACACCGGCUCUAACACAGUCCGGGAAUGACGGUACCUGAAGAAUAAGCACCGGCUAACUACGUGCCAGCAGCCGCCGUAA